GACGAACGCUGGCGGCGUGCCUAAUACAUGCAAGUAGAACGCUGAAGGAGGAGCUUGCUUCUCUGGAUGAGUUGCGAACGGGUGAGUAACGCGUAGGUAACCUGCCUGGUAGCGGGGGAUAACUAUUGGAAACGAUAGCUAAUACCGCAUAAGAGUAGAUGUUGCAUGACAUUUGCUUAAAAGUUGCAAUUGCAUCACUACCAUAUGGACCUUCGUUGUAUUAGCUAGUUGGUGUGGUAACGGCUCACCAAGGCGACGAUACAUAGCCGACCUGAGAGGGUGAUCGGGCAAACUGGGACUGAGAAACGGCCAAGAAGACUAGGGGAGGGAGAAGUAGGGAAUCAUCGGGAAAGGACGGAAGACUGACCGAGAAACGACGGGUGAGUGAAGAAGGUAUUCGGAUCGUAAAGCUCUGUUGUAAGAGAAGAAAGAGUGUGAGAGUGGAAAGUUCACACUGUGACGGUAUCUUACCAGAAAGGGACGGCUAACUACGUG
rnacentral:rRNA from 1 species